rnacentral:rRNA from 1 species
UACGUAGGGGGCAAGCGUUGUCCGGAUUUAUUGGGCGUAAAGAGCGUGUAGGCGGCUAGACAGGUCCGUUGUGAAAACUCGAGGCUCAACCUCGAGACGUCGACGGAAACCGUCUGGCUAGAGUCCGGAAGAGGAGUAUGGAAUUCCUGGUGUAGCGGUGAAAUGCGCAGAUAUCGAGAGGAACACCUGCGGCGAAGGCGGGUUGCUGGGCUGACACUGACGCUGAAGCGCGAAAGCUAGGGGAGCGAACGGG